GACGAACGCUGGCGGCGUGCUUAACACAUGCAAGUCGAACGGAAAAGCCCUGCUUUCGUGGGGAGCUCGAGUCGCGAACGGGUGAGUAACCCGUGAGUCACCUGGCUUUGACUUUGGGACAACUUCAGGAAACUGGUGCUAAUACCUGAUAGCUGCUCGUGCUGCAUGGGGGGGGUCGGAAAGCUUCGGCGGUUGGGGAUGGACUCGCGGCUUAUCAGCUUGUUGGUGGGGUAGUGGCUUACCAAGGCAUUGACGGGUAGCCGGCCUGAGAGGGUGACCGGCCACAUUGGGACUGAGAUACGGCCCAGACUCCUACGGGAGGCAGCAGUGGGGAAUAUUGCACAAUGGGCGGAAGCCUGAUGCAGCGACGCCGCGUGCGGGAUGACGGCCUUCGGGUUGUAAACCGCUUUCACCUGUGACGAAGCGUGAGUGACGGUAAUAGGUAAAGAAGCACCGGCUAACUACGUG
rnacentral:rRNA from 1 species